UACGGAGGAUGCAAGCGUUAUCCGGAUUCAUUGGGUUUAAAGGGUGCGCAGGUUGUUUGAUAAGUCAGUGGUGAAAGUCUGUCGCUUAACGGUAGGAUUGCCAUUGAUACUGUUAGACUUGAAUAUGGAUGAGGUAGGCGGAAUGUGUAGUGUAGCGGUGAAAUGCAUAGAUAUUACACAGAACACCGAUUGCGAAGGCAGCUUACUAAUCCAUCAUUGACGCUGAGGCACGAAAGCGUGUGGAUCAAA
rnacentral:rRNA from 1 species